rnacentral:rRNA from 1 species
UACGUAGGGGGCAAGCGUUGUCCGGAAUUAUUGGGCGUAAAGAGCUCGUAGGCGGUCUGUUGCGUCGGCUGUGAAAACCCGGGGCUCAACUCCGGGCCUGCAGCCGAUACGGGCAGACUAGAGUUCGGCAGGGGAGACUGGAAUUCCUGGUGUAGCGGUGAAAUGCGCAGAUAUCAGGAGGAACACCGGUGGCGAAGGCGGUUCUCUGGGCAUGACCUGACGCUGAGGAGCGAAAGUGUGGGGAGCGAACAGG